UUCAGGAGCUAGUGCGGCGGCGCGGCCUCUGCGUGCCCUCUGACCUGCUGGCAGUGGGCGGAGGGGGAGUCGGGCGCCGCCAUAUUGGCUGUUGUCCUGUGUGGGGAGCGGCGGCAGUGGCGGCGCGAGUGGAGCGAGGGAGCGGCGCGAGUGGCAGCAUGACUCGGAGGCGGAGCAGGCCGAGCGGCGGCGCGGGCCGGCGCGAACGGGCACGGGCUGCGGGGCUGCAGAAGCCCCAGGCGCCCGAGCCCCCGCCGCCGCCAACCUUGGAAGCGGGACCGGGUGCAGGGCCCCAGGAGGCUCCGGCGGAGUCCGAUCGCGACGGCCCCAAAGAAGAGGAUGAACCCAAGCUGGUGCCUGGCCCGCAGGGCAGAAGAGGAAAGAAACUAACGGGUAUUGAGCACCUACUGUGUGCCAGGCCCAGGCCAGGUCCCCUUCACCUCCAGCCAGUCUGUACAGACUUGCUGCCUGCUAUGUCACCGGGAACGCAAAGGCUGGGAAGAAGGCCCUUCACAAAACGGACUGGUGUUACAGGGUGAAAAGCUACCCCCUGACUUCAUGCCAAAGCUCGUCAAGAAUCUCCUAGGCGAGAUGCCUCUAUGGGUCUGCCAGAGUUGCCGAAAGAGCAUGGAGGAAGAUGAAAGGCAGACAGGUCGAGAACAUGCAGUGGCGGUACGUAACCACUGACAGGGGGCCUCAGGGUGGCCACAUCCCCAGGAAAGGUAGGCUGUUCCUUCCCUGUCUUUUCAAGGACUUUCCUUGGGAACCUCCCAUGCUCAGAUGCUAAAAGAAUUGUGGGCUACAUUGACACCUUGGGAGCUCAGAUUCAGAUUCGGGGGAGAGAGAAACAGUCUUCAGGCAACCCUCUGGCCUCAGCAUAGUUCAUACAGAAGGUGAAGACCUCAUAGAUUACGGUAGAUCAUGAUCCUAUUCCCUCAGGUGACCCUGAUACCUUCUAAUUCCUUGACACUUUGAAAGGUAAACCUUUAUGACACAAAAGGCAGAGGUCAGUUUGAGAGUCUGAAGU
rnacentral:lncRNA from 1 species